rnacentral:lncRNA from 1 species
CCUGCACUCAUCGUCCAGUAUCUCUACACUGUAGACUAGAGACUUAUCUAUCCCGAAGAAAGUAAUUUGUACAUCAGUCUAUCCGGAUCAAUCACUAUCCUCAUGAUGGUUCUAUGAUCGAGAGCAUUUAGAAAUUAAUACAUAUCUCUAAUUGUUAAUACCUUGAGAAUAUGUAUCGAAAAGUUAAUUCCAUGGAUGAUUCAAAGAUAAAUCAC